ACCUAAUUGACAAACCCGAACCUUCAACCCAUCCUCGGAGUGGAAUCGUCGAGGUCGCGAUAGAGCAGAGGUCGUGGUAAUCGAAUUCCGGCAAUCUGGUUUCGUAGUGAGUAUCGGAUUUUAGACAGAAGAUUGGAGGUGUGACGGAGAGGAAGAUUCCGAUGGCGGGCGGGGAAAACUAAAUUGGGCACGGCGUGCGAGAAACGAACCAAGUCUGAUCGAUUAAGUCCAGUUACCAGAUCAUCUUCAUUGCGAGAGCAGAGAGCUGGGUCAUCUUCAUGCCUCAAAGUGCUGCAGUCAGCUGCGCCUCACCUUGCCCGAUCGGAUCUCCACCUCCCUCCCUCCCGACAAGAGCAAGGGAUAGGGGCUAUGCCGACUGCGGAUAAGUAUUACAUACCUUGUAUCUGUAGUCUUAAAUUUCUGGCUAAAAGUUUAUCCUAACUUCAACUCGAUCAAGAAAAUGGUUACUGCUGAGGAAAUGUAAACGUAGAAGGUUGUUGCUAGAUAAUCUGGAGAUUAAUCUGCUGGAAGUACAAUGGAGGUUUUGCUGAUAUGGGACCAGCCAUUAAGGCAAAUACAACCUUAUAUAUAGAGGCUGCAAUUUCAGCAUUAUCAAGGGGUUAAGCAAACUGCAAUUUCUGUCAUUAAGCAGAUAGCGGCUGUUUUAGUCAUGGAUUCACCUUAUCAACUAAUCCGUUUGAUCCAAAUGUUGAUAAAAAGCAGAGGAUUUAUGCAGGCAAAGAAAGAGACUGCUGGAUGUUAAAAGGUGGUAGUUUGCGUAUGUAACUUGAUUUCUGGAAGACCACUCCCUGCUGAAUUCGUUUUUGAAGAAGAGUCUUAGUUUAAUCACUAUUUGUUAAAACAAUUUUAUUCCUUUCAAAAAUAUAUGCAAUGUCAUUGUAUAAUAUAAUAAAGUAAGCUCAUGUUAAGGGUUUAAAAUAUUUAAGCAGACAAUAAGAUUCCAUUGUGUUUUUAGAGUAGAAAUUGCAAUUCAAAA